CCACGUCACUUUUCUCAAUUUUAUGCUCAUUUACACUUCUCAAAUUGCAGUUACGUAUCCUCUUUCUCCUAUUCAUUUCACGUUACAAACUUCCUCCAAAUUCUCUUCAUCAAUUCAUUUCACGUUACAAACUUCCAGCGGUUACUACUCUCCACAUUCAUCUUCCCCAAAUUCUAACCCUAAAUCAAAUACUCAGUAUUUCACACAACCUUUCAUCAACCCUCAUCACAACCAUCACCACAAAUUCAUCAUUGGACCGCAACAGAUUCAUAACGUGCGGAGCACCGUCAUCGGUAACAAAUCUUCAGCAGCAACGAUUGUAAUCUGAUAUACAACGACAUCAUCAGAAAAUCACGGUUGCGACAUCAGAUUCACGAACAACAAUUUGCGGAUCCGCCAACAAGCUUCCAUUCACACCCUGAUCGAAGCAAUUAUUGGGUUUUGUUUGAAUUUUCAGAUAAGGAAGAUUGUUGCUGCAAGAAUUGGAGACUGGGAUAACUGGUUUUAUUGAUAUGGGAUCAGAGAGUAUUGCUCUGAUGGUUGAGACAUUGAAAAACAGUGUACUUUCUAUUGAGUUGGAGGACAUCUCGGGCAACGGUGGCAUCUAUAUUCAAUCUGAUGGAGAGCAUUUGGGAUUCCUUCUGAUGGCAUCUAUAAGAUGGCGAUUCGUUUCAAUUUGGGUUUCUCUGAUUAAGCUAACGGUUCUCAGAUGGCGAUUCUCAUUUUUUGGUGGACCUGUAGUCAUGAAUACCAGAUGAUCAUGUCAGUAAUAUGAAUACCAUAUUAUUAGCGUGCGCACAAAAAUAUGAAGAAUAUCGACCUUCCCAUCACUGAUUCACACUCUUCCCAUUCCCUGACUUUCAAACCGGAUAUCUCUUUGAUCUCCGAUCAGCCUGAUUCCGAUAAGUCAUUUUACGGUCUGAACCUCUGUUCUGGGAAUUCUGAAUGAAUCAGGCAACGAUAUUUUGCGUGAUUUAUCACUCUUACAGGUUAAUGUGCUUUGUGAAUUGUCACUUAGCUAGCUGCAUAUUUAGAAGUUUUUAAUCGGCGAAAUGUUGAUUUUGAUCACAUUUAUCGGAAUAUGGUCUUCAGCCGAUCAUCCACUCUACUUGGUACUGCAGCUGCCGGUGUCUCUACUUUGGCUCAUAUGCUUCGCGGUACAAAUAUGAGUACAUCCUUAGCGGUAUAAAUGUUGUAUUGCAACUAUGGUGCAUGAUAGGAUGACUGAAUCUGUUAAUACUAAGAAGCUAACUUCCUUUGAGACCAGUGUAGUUCCAGAGGAGUUUUUUUAUAUACCUGUCAUGGAGAAGGGGAGGAAAGCGUUGAAGGAGAUUAAUCUGGAGAUGGGUUUCGCUUUUGAUGAACAGGAUUUGGAAGACUACACCAAACUUUUCACAGAUGACAUUAAGCGUAAUCUAACAAAUGUGGAGUUGUUUGAUAUUGCUCAGUCAGUCCAACAGCGAACAUAGUAGGCACUGUAUUUUCUGUCAUUUGUUUCUCAUCUAUAUAAUUUCUUGCUUCUCUGUCACUUAUUAUCACUCAUGGCUAAUGAUCACUCAUACCAUAUUAUGGCUAAUGUAAGUAUCUCUCCUUCAUGCAUUCUUAUUUAAAUGAACUUUGGUAUUUGUUGUUGAGGUUAAAAAGUUUGUUGAUCUUGGCUGAAGCGGACUCGCCAUCAUUGUUGUUUUUUGUUUCUGUCGUGGGAGUUUUAUGAUUCUAUGUUCUUCUGCUGUUUUAGAGUGGAAAUCAAAGUCAGAGGAUUAUGAAAAGGAAAUCCAUGAAUGGAAGAAGAAAAAUUCUGCAGCCACUACAAACUUAUCCUAACUGAAUUGUCAGAUAAGCUCAAAGGAGGCACAGAUUGAGCAGAUGUUUGGGCAAAAGCAGGAGAUAAACGAGAAGUGUGAACUAGAGCAGAUUAGCCUUCCAACCAUAUCAUAUCCUAAGGAUACUGAUAGCUCAACACCGGGUCCGGUUUGUGACUUUGAUCAACUCAGCAGGCCAAUAAAAGAUAGGAAACUCUCUGGCAGGGAUAAAAUAGAGAUAAAUCGGCGUGGAAAACAUAUGAAAAAUUUCUUAGGGAAAUGUUGAUGGUAAGAAAUGCAAUAACAAGGGUGUGGCUGAAGCAAUUUUAGGAACUUUAGGUCUUUCUAAUAUAGGACAAGUUUUUCCCGUUAAUGAUCCUAAGUGGAAGGGUUGUGACUCUUCUGUGUUCGUCCAUGAAUCUGUGAGUAAUAUUCUAUUUCUAUGUAUAUAUACCUAACUUUCUGCUUCAGUUUCUCCAUUAAAAUCUCAUUUAAGUAUUAGUGUUUUCUGUUUUUUUAGUUUCUUUGAAUUGAGUUUUAUUUUCUAUGGAUAUGGCAAGGGAAAGAAGUCAUGUACAGUUAGAUAAUAACUGUUAGGUCUGAAGAAAUUGAACAAUGGAAAGCUUUAUGAUCAGGCUGCCAAGAUUAAAGUACCUAUGUUUGUGCGUUUAUUUCGCUAUUAUGCCGGUACUAUCAGUAACAACAAUUGCAUGUUCCUUAUGUCAAUAAUCCUUUUUAAAUUGUAGUAACAAAUUUGUUGUUAAUACCCCGAUUCUUACAACAUCGACUAUUUUCCCUACUAUAAAAUUACUAUAUUUUCAUUUGGAGUGAAGGCAGGUUUGCAUGUUUAAUUUCUUUGUGUUUAUGACAGAAAACACAUGAUAAUUCAAAUUCAGUUGGAAACACAAAAGUCUCAUAUGAUGAUCUCGCCUGCAGUGUAUGCUUGGAGAAGGUUAAUGUCGGAGAUGUACUUCGUAGCUUGCCAUGCCUUCAUCAGGUCAGUUUAGUUGCUCUGCAUUUUUACAUUUCAACAAAUAGUUUGUUUCUAUUUGUUUGAUGAUAUACCCUGCCAGUUCAACUUAGUCAUCUCAACUUAGUCAUUCUACGCGGUCUGUUGUCCGAAGAAGAGUCGAGAAUUCAAUCCAAUUGAUUGAAGUCGAAGCGAUCCAAUGAGUAUUGUUUGAGAGUCUCCGACGUCGGUGUUUAAAAUCAGAUAAGUGUCUCAUUUCAUAUAGCUUAGCUGAUUUAAUCUGCUGCUUUUAGACUGUUGAAUUUUGUUAUCUCUAUUGUCAUGGACUUGCUUAUGCAAAUUCGUUGUUACAGAAAGUUCUAAGUGGUGAUAAAAAUUUUGUCAGUUUCGACACAUGCUAACUGGUCGUCAUUCAGAUGUGUAAGUUGAUUUCUGUCUUUUCUAAUUCUAUUUCACUUGCUAUUAAUUGAUGGUGCAAGAUUGCUUCUUGGAGUACAUUAUCAUGAAUUCGGUAAUUGAGAAAUGAUAUGUUUGGAUGAAAGGCUUGGUCUUAUGACAUGUAACAAUUAUAACAAACUUUAGUUUAGCGGCCUGAUCCAUAUAAAUUAGCAACACAUUGGGAACUAUUGCAGUAUUAUGACAUCAGAAAGACAUGCGACGAAACAUUGUGUUAAGACUUCUCAAAUAUCGAGACUCUUCUAAAUAAGAAGACAGUUAGAGAUGAUUUAGGUGUUGGGAAUAUAGAAUUUGUUUCAUGCAGAAAAGUAGUAUAUAAUGCUAUGCUGCAAGAUUGGAUGACAAACCUCGAAGUGGAUAUUCCUUCACUUCUUGCAGAUGGAAUCAAGGUUCUUAUAUAUGCCAGAGAAUUUGAUUGUAUUUGCAAUUGGUUGGUCAAUGAUAUAUUCUAGCACUAUAGGACAUUUCAAACUUUUAUCAUGUUAUGCUUAUUUGAAAUCAUAUGACAGGGAAUUCAAAUUGGGUUCAUAGCAUGAAGUGGUCAGGUCAAAAACAGUCUGUGCCAUCGAAAACAGUUCAGUUUUUGGUUGAUGGUACAAAAGCAGGAUUGUUGAAUAGCUAUGGACAUGGACCUCUAUAUUUUCUAAAGGUGAAUGCUGCUGGACAUAUGGUUCCUAUGGAUCAACCAAAAAAGCUGCACUUCAGAUGUUGGUAAGCUGGAUAGAAGGGAACCUGAAUGAGACAAGCUCUUAACUUCUAUGUAAAUUGAUACAAACAUGUCAAGUGAAUCUAUAUUCUAAAUCAGCUUUGUGAUUAAAAUGCCUAACCCAUGGGACAAUCAUCUGUUGAUUGUGCGAAGAUCCCUUCCAUGCCUAAUGUUUCCUUCACCAUUGGUGGAAAAACGUUUGACCUUGCCCCACAAGAGGAUCCUUGGAGAUAUCUUCAUGGGACGCUAUCAUACCGUCUUUGAUUAUGGUAAACUCAGAGUUGGAUUUGCCGAAGCAGCAUAGAGAAUCUGCUCAUACCUCUCGCAGAAUGCAUCCUUUAUUUGCUAGCCCUAUUUUUCUCUUCAAAAAUCAGUAAAAUGGAACAAAAAAUAUCAAGGGAAAGAACAACCUCAGUAUUAUUUGGCAACAGUUAUUCGAUAAUAUUUUGUAUAACUUUGCAUUCAAAAUGGUCCUUAAAUUGUGGUUGUGUAUAUAUAUAUUGGUUUUAAUAUUCUCGCAGUCGCUCCCCCAGCUAUUAUUAUAUGCAUUUAGAUUUCUGGA